GGAUGUGAGGGCGAUCUGGCUGCGACAUCUGUCACCCCAUUGAUCGCCAGGGUUGAUUCGGCUGAUCUGGCUGGCUAGGCGGGUGUCCCCCUCCUCCCUCACCGAUCCAUGUGCGUCCCUCCCGAAGCUGCGCGCUCGGUCGAAGAGGACGACCUUCCCCCCCGAGGAGAGGACCGGUCUUCGGUCAAGGGUAUACGAGUAGCUGCGCUCCCCUGCUAGAACCUCCAAACAAGCUCUCAAAAGGUGGUGAGUUCGAUUCCUGGUCAAGGCACAGAGGUUUCGGGUUUGAACCUCAGUUGGGGCACAUGGGAGAGGCAACCAAUCUAUGUUUCUCU
rfam:Myotis lucifugus cont2.4268, whole genome shotgun sequence.